AACGAACGCUGGCGGCAUGCCUAACACAUGCAAGUCGAACGAAGCCUUCGGGCUUAGUGGCGCACGGGUGCGUAACGCAUGGGAAUCUGCCCCUUGCUUCGGAAUAACAGUUAGAAAUGACUGCUAAUACCGGAUGAUGUCUUCGGACCAAAGAUUUAUCGGCAAGGGAUGAGCCCGCGUAGGAUUAGGUAGUUGGUGGGGUAAAGGCCUACCAAGCCGACGAUCCUUAGCUGGUCUGAGAGGAUGAUCAGCCACACUGGGACUGAGACACGGCCCAGACUCCUACGGGAGGCAGCAGUGGGGAAUAUUGGACAAUGGGCGAAAGCCUGAUCCAGCAAUGCCGCGUGAGUGAUGAAGGCCUUAGGGUUGUAAAGCUCUUUUACCAGGGAUGAUAAUGACAGUACCUGGAGAAUAAGCUCCGGCUAACUCCGUGCCAGCAGCCGCAGUAAUAC
rnacentral:rRNA from 1 species